rnacentral:snoRNA from 14 species
AAUAUGCAAGUAUGAUGAUUCAAUUAGAUGUAUGAAAGGAGAAAUCCUUGCUGAACUCUAUUUUUUGAGGCAAACUGUCUGACUUGCUUAUU